UCUCCUGUUGGGUUGCAUAGACCCACGUGUCCCCUGGCUUCCUGGACAGAGAGGUGUGCCAGCCUGGAAGGGAAGUGACAGCCCAGUGUUUCUUUGUGCUGUCACAUUCCAUCCUUUGCCACAAGAACAUUUGUUCCAUAUUCACGCUUAAGGAUUCCUCUGCCCCAGGCAGGCGAUCCAGGCUGCAAAGUGAAAUCUGAUGGGACACUGAAGCAUGACUGUGACCCGAGGAGGGAAGUGCAACGUAUGUGUCUCUGUCCCUUGCUGCUCAUUCACACAGAGCGUUCAAGAUGCUCUCUGAACCCACGAUGCAUCAGUGAUCGGUGAGACUCAAAGUGAGCACGAGGUCAUCAAGCUCCAUAUGAUCCUCAAUGAGGGAUGCCGUCCUCUCAAUAUUCAAGUCACCAUUCUACAGAGGACAGCUAGACUGCCCAGCAGAGGGACAUGACAGAGGUAAAAUCCUGCCCCUGUUUCCCUUGGACCUGGCUGAAUACCACUUUCACCAACCCAUGGAGCCACCCUGCCCUGACAGCUAGAAAGAGUCCAAGACACACAGAACAACCACUACCACCCCACUCUCAGCAGGAAACAGUUAGAGAAGACUGACCUUUAUCCCUUUUCCCAAAGAAUUGGGUCUUGAACUCUUGAGUGGGAAAACGUUACAGCAGGGCAGGAGAGCACUGCCUUCUCAACCCCCUGCUCUGACACCGAGGAAUGUCAGGCAACCAUUAGGUGCUGGUCAGGCAGUUAUUAAACUGUCUUGCUAAGAUAAUAAUUGGUUACAGCUGGCACCAGGGAACAACAAAAACAACUGAAAACAAUGGAAGCUGGUGAUCAGCAUCUUCCCAAUAAGAUCUCGGGAGUUGGGUGAGUGGGCUCAAACACGUGUACUAAGAGGCAAAAUGGUGGAGUUUAACUGGUAGAUGACCUUCCUCUAGGAACACUGGACUGAUUAGGGAAAAACCCUUCAAGUGAGCAUGGAUGCAACUUCAGUAAAUGCAUUGUGCAUGCAGCCCCUCCCAAGUGCUGGAAGACCACUGCUCAUGAGGACAGCCUGCCCCAAGGGAAGAAUCGGAGGAGGAGAAAUGGGGAUCCAGGAAAAAUGCCAAUGUA